rnacentral:rRNA from 1 species
UUACAGGCUUAACACAUGCAAGUCGAGGGGCAGCAUUUCAGUUUGCUUGCAAACUGGAGAUGGCGACCGGCGCACGGGUGAGUAACACGUAUCCAACCUGCCGAUAACUCGGGGAUAGCCUUUCGAAAGAAAGAUUAAUACCCGAUGGCAUAAUUAGACCGCAUGGUCUUAUUAUUAAAGAAUUUCGGUUAUCGAUGGGGAUGCGUUCCAUUAGGCAGUUGGUGAGGUAACGGCUCACCAAACCUUCGAUGGAUAGGGGUUCUGAGAGGAAGGUCCCCCACAUUGGAACUGAGACACGGUCCAAACUCCUACGGGAGGCAGCAGUGAGGAAUAUUGGUCAAUGGACGAGAGUCUGAACCAGCCAAGUAGCGUGAAGGAUGACUGCCCUAUGGGUUGUAAACUUCUUUUAUAUGGGAAUAAAGUUUUCCACGUGUGGAAUUUUGUAUGUACCAUAUGAAUAAGGAUCGGCUAACUCCGUGCCAGCAGCCGCGGUAAUACGGAGGAUCCGAGCGUUAUCCGGAUUUAUUGGGUUUAAAGGGAGCGUAGGUGGACAGUUAAGUCAGUUGUGAAAGUUUGCGGCUCAACCGUAAAAUUGCAGUUGAUACUGGCUGUCUUGAGUACAGUAGAGGUGGGCGGAAUUCGUGGUGUAGCGGUGAAAUGCUUAGAUAUCACGAAGAACUCCGAUUGCGAAGGCAGCUCACUGGACUGCAACCGACACUGAUGCUCGAAAGUGUGGGUAUCAAACAGGAUUAGAUACCCUGGUAGUCCACACAGUAAACGAUGAAUACUCGCUGUUUGCGAUAUACAGUAAGCGGCCAAGCGAAAGCAUUAAGUAUUCCACCUGGGGAGUACGCCAGCAACGGUGAAACUCAAAGGAAUUGACGGGGGCCCGCACAAGCGGAGGAACAUGUGGUUUAAUUCGAUGAUACGCGAGGAACCUUACCCGGGCUUAAAUUGCAUUUGAAUAAUCUGGAAACAGGUUAGCCGCAAGGCAAAUGUGAAGGUGCUGCAUGGUUGUCGUCAGCUCGUGCCGUGAGGUGUCGGCUUAAGUGCCAUAACGAGCGCAACCCUUAUCUUUAGUUACUAACAGGUCAUGCUGAGGACUCUAGAGAGACUGCCGUCGUAAGAUGUGAGGAAGGUGGGGAUGACGUCAAAUCAGCACGGCCCUUACGUCCGGGGCUACACACGUGUUACAAUGGGGGGUACAGAAGGCAGCUACCUGGUGACAGGAUGCUAAUCCCAAAAGCCUCUCUCAGUUCGGAUCGAAGUCUGCAACCCGACUUCGUGAAGCUGGAUUCGCUAGUAAUCGCGCAUCAGCCAUGGCGCGGUGAAUACGUUCCCGGGCCUUGUACACACCGCCCGUCAAGCCAUGAAAGCCGGGGGUACCUGAAGUACGUAAGGGCAAGGAGCGUCCUAGGGUAAAACUGG